rnacentral:rRNA from 1 species
AUUGAACGCUGGCGGCAGGCCUAACACAUGCAAGUCGAACGAGUGGCGGACGGGUGAGUAAUGUCUGGGAAACUGCCCGAUGGAGGGGGAUAACUACUGGAAACGGUAGCUAAUACCGCAUACCAUCGGAUGUGCCCAGAUGGGAUUAGCUAGUAGGUGGGGUAACGGCUCACCUGGGCGACGAUCCCUAGCUGGUCUGAGAGGAUGGCCAGCCGCCUGGGAACUGAGACACGGUACAGACUCGUACGGGAGGCAGCAGUGGGGAAUAUUGCACAAUGGGAGCAAGCCUGAGGCAGCCAUGCCGCGUGUAUGAAGAAGGCCUUCGGGUUGUAAAGUACUUUCAGCGAGGAGGCGUUACUCGCAGAAGAAGCACCGGCUAACUCCGUGCCAGCAGCCGCGGUAAUAC